AAUGCACCGCGGGAGACAAGCAGAUCUUCUUAAAGGCCAGAUUGCAUCUACUACCUGCUGCUAAUUUAGGAAUAGAAAUCACCAGCGUCUGCCCUUUCUUGGGUCCUCUAAGCCAGCCCAUUUCUUUCAGGCAUUACAACCCGCAUGCCUCUAACACCAAGGUGGCAGCUGGAAAGUGUUACUUUAAAAAUGCCACGGCUCCCACUCCCCUCUCUUUUGAAAAUGUGGAAAUAACAUUUCAGCGCCCAGAUGAUGACAGACACAAAAUGGCUGGAGAGAAGCUGCAGCAGCCCGAGAGCAGAUAGAGAGGCCUCUGGGAAGUUCUUGGAACCACUUAGCAGACCCCUGCGAGAGCCCAUGGCACGGUGGCUGCCAUCAAGAUGAGGAAAGAGAAAUCCACUCCAUUGUAUUUAUUUCUGCCAUCAUGUGCAUUCUAAGGAAGGCAUUCGAAAAUCCUCUGGGAAACAAGGACAUGUCGGCUGAGCAGUAAAGUGCAGCAAAGAGCAUCAGUGACAGCUACGCUAUCAGGAGGCAUUUAAUUGUGUU
rnacentral:lncRNA from 1 species